AUCUUGUCAGUGAUGCUUUCAAACACAAAUGUCUGAAUAUAUGACUCUGUGUGAUUAUUACUUUUUUCUUACUGAGACAAGAU